CACGUAGGGUGCGAGCGUUGUCCGGAAUUAUUGGGCGUAAAGAGCUCGUAGGCGGUGUGUCGCGUCGGCCGUGAAAACUUGCAGCUUAACUGUGGGCGUGCGGUCGAUACGGCAUCACUGGAGUUCGGCAGGGGAGACUGGAAUUCCUGGUGUAGCGGUGAAAUGCGCAGAUAUCUGGAGGAACACCGGUGGCGAAGGCGGCAUCCUGGACCGGUAUUGACGCUGAGGCGCGAAAGCCAGGGGAGCAAAGCGGG
rnacentral:rRNA from 1 species